UCCCCGUUACCGGGGCAGUCUGAUUAGAAAAAUCCAACUAAUCAUAAGGGUUGCGCUCGUUGAUGGACUUAACCAAACAUCUCACGACACGAGCUGACGACGGCCAUGCAACACCUGUCACUGAGUUCCGGGUUACAGCACACAAAAACUUUAUGUUUAUGUGCUCUAACCCGGCACUCGCUCCUUUCGGAGUGAUUCUCAGGAUGUCAAGUCUGGGUAAGGUUCUUCGCUUACCAUCGAAUUAAACAACACGCUCCACUGCUUGUGCGGCUCCCCGUCAAUUCCUUUGAGUUUUAGUCUUGCGACCGUACUCCCCAGGCGGAAUACUUAACGCGUUAGCUUCGCUACACACAGGGUCGAUUCUGCAUACAGCUAGUAUUCAUAGUUUACGGCGUGGACU
rnacentral:misc_RNA from 1 species